AUUGAACGCUGGCGGCAUGCCUUACACAUGCAAGUCGAACGGUAACAGGUUAAGCUGACGAGUGGCGAACGGGCGAGUAAUGUAUCGGAACGUGCCCAGUCGUGGGGGAUAACUGCUGGAAAGAGCAGCUAAUACCGCAUACGACCUGGGGGAGUAAGCGGGGGAUCGCAAGACCUCGCGCGAUUGGAGCGGUCGAUAUCAGAUUAGGUAGUUGGUGAGGUAAAGGCUCACCAAGCCGACGAUCUGUAGCUGGUCUGAGAGGACGACCAGCCACACUGGGACUGAGACACGGCCCAGACUCCUACGGGAGGCAGCAGUGGGGAAUUUUGGACAAUGGGCGCAAGCCUGAUCCAGCCAUGCCGCGUGCGUGAAGAAGGCCUUCGGGUUGUAAACCGCUUUUGUCAGGGAAGAAAAGGUUCUGGCUAAUACCUGGGACUCAUGACGGUACCUGAAGAAUAAGCACCGGCUAACUACGUG
rnacentral:rRNA from 1 species